rnacentral:rRNA from 1 species
AUUGAACGCUGGCGGCAGGCCUAACACAUGCCAGUCGAGCGAGCGGCGGACGGGUGAGCAAUGUAUGGGGACUGCCCGAUAGAGGGGGAUAACUACUGGAAACGGUAGCUAAUACCGCAUACUAUCGGAUAACCCAUAUGGGAUUAGCUAGUAGGUGUGGUAAUGGCUCACCUAGGCGACGAUCCCUAGCUGGUCUGAGAGGAUGAUCAGCAGCACUGGAACUGAGACACGGCCCGGACUCCUACGGAGGCAGCAGUUGGGAAUAUUGCGCAAUGGGCGGAGGCCGGAUGCAGCGAUGCCUAGCGUAUGAAUAAGGCCCUAGGGUUGUAAAGUACUUUCAGUCGAGAGGCGUUUCCGACACAAGAAGCACCGGCUAUCUACGUGCCAGCAGCCGCGGUAAUAC